rnacentral:rRNA from 1 species
AGAAAUAGGUGCUAAUACCGCAUAAGCGCACGGAGUCGCAUGACUUUGUGUGAAAAACUGAGGUGGUAUAUGAUGGACCCGCGUCUGAUUAGCUUGUUGGUGAGGUAACGGCCCACCAAGGCGACGAUCAGUAGCCGGCCUGAGAGGGUGGACGGCCACAUUGGGACUGAGACACGGCCCAAACUCCUACGGGAGGCAGCAGUGGGGAAUAUUGCACAAUGGGGGAAACCCUGAUGCAGCGACGCCGCGUGAGCGAAGAAGUAUUUCGGUAUGUAAAGCUCUAUCAGCAGGGAAGAAAAUGACGGUACCUGACUAAGAAGCCCCGGCUAACUACGUGCCAGCAGCCGCGGUAAUACGUAGGUGGCGAGCGUUGUCCGGAAUUACUGGGUGUAAAGGGAGUGUAGGCGGGAUGGUAAGUUAGGUGUGAAAUGCGGAGGCUCAACCUCCGAGCUGCACUUAAAACUGCUGUUCUUGAGUGAAGUAGAGGUUGGCGGAAUUCCCAGUGUAGCGGUGAAAUGCGUAGAUAUUGGGAGGAACAUCAGUGGCGAAGGCGGCCAACUGGGCUUUUACUGACGCUGAGGCGCGAAAGCGUGGGGAGCAAACAGGAUUAGAUACCCUGGUAGUCCACGCUGUAAACGAUGAUUACUAGGUGUGGGGGGGGCUGACCCCUUUCCGUGCCGCAGUUAACACAAUAAGUAAUCCACCUGGGGAGUACGACCGCAAGGUUGAAACUCAAAGGAAUUGACGGGGGCCCGCACAAGCGGAGGAACAUGUGGUUUAAUUCGAUGAUACGCGAGGAACCUUACCCGGGAUUGAAAUGUAGAUGACUGAUGGUGAAAACCGUCUUCCCUUCGGGGCUUCUAUGUAGGUGCUGCAUGGUUGUCGUCAGCUCGUGCCGUGAGGUGUCGGCUUAAGUGCCAUAACGAGCGCAACCCACAUCGGUAGUUGCUAACAGUUUUCGCUGAGGACUCUACCGAGACUGCCGUCGUAAGGCGCGAGGAAGGUGUGGAUGACGUCAAAUCAGCACGGCCCUUACAUCCGGGGCGACACACGUGUUACAAUGGGAGGGACAAAGGGCAGCUACCGGGCGACCGGAUGCGAAUCUCUAAACCCUUCCCCAGUUCGGAUCGGAGUCUGCAACUCGACUCCGUGAAGCUGGAUUCGCUAGUAAUCGCGCAUCAGCC